AAUGGGCUUACGCCUGAACCAGCCAAGUCGCGUGAGGGAAGACUGCCCUAUGGGUUGUAAACCUCUUUUGUCAGGGAGCAACAACAUCUACGAGUAGGUGUUACGAGAGUACCUGAAGAAAAAGCAUCGGCUAACUCCGUGCC
rnacentral:rRNA from 1 species